UAGGGAAUCUUGCGCAAUGGGCGAAAGCCUGACGCAGCCAUGCCGCGUGAAUGAUGAAGGUCUUAGGAUUGUAAAAUUCUUUCACCGGGGAAGAUAAUGACGGUACCCGGAGAAGAAGCCCCGGCUAACUUCGUGCCAGCAGCCGCGGUAAUACGAAGGGGGCUAGCGUUGCUCGGAAUUACUGGGCGUAAAGGGCGCGUAGGCGGAUGUUUAAGUCGGGGGUGAAAGCCCGGGGCUCAACCUCGGAAUUGCCUUCGAUACUGGACAUCUUGAGUACGGGAGAGGUGAGUGGAACUCCGAGUGUAGAGGUGAAAUUCGUAGAUAUUCGGAGGAACACCAGUGGCGAAGGCGACUCACUGGCCCGUUACUGACGCUGAGGCGCGAAAGCGUGGGGAGCAAACAGGAUUAGAUACCCUGGUAGUCCACGCCGUAAACGAUGAGUGCUAGUUGUCGGCAUGCAUGCAUGUCGGUGACGCAGCUAACGCAUUAAGCACUCCGCCUGGGGAGUACGGUCGCAAGAUUAAAACUCAAAUGAA
rnacentral:rRNA from 1 species